AUGUGGGCGCGGCUUUUGGCAAAUGUCAUGUCCGUAUUUGGAGUAGUAACGGUUGUGUGAGGAGGGAUGAGGAGGAAGGCGGUAUAGCAAAGCGAUUUCCGCCGUCGACGUCGCCGAGUCUUCAGGUUGGCCUUAAAGUCCACAGACUCUUUAACCUUUGAACUAAACAAGGCUCCUAACAUGGCAUCAGCAGAUACCCUCACCCUCCUCAGGUUGGCCUUGAAGUCAAAGGACUCCUUGUGUUUGGAGCCCAGCAGCACACUCAGCAUGGCCUCGGCUGAGAUCUUCACCCUCUUCAGCUUGGCCUUGAAGUCAGCCUUCUUGAGUUUCGAAGUGUCGCUGUAUGCGUUCAGCAUGUCAUCAGUCGUUUUCUUCACCCUCUUCAAGUUGGGCCGCUUCACACCCUUCAGCUCAACGAUCUUCUGACUGAGAUACUCAAUCUGGGCCGCGAAUGUUGCAGUUAGAGCAAGUGGACAACAGCAUUCAAACAGUGUCAGCUGGGAUUGGCUCCCUCUACCUUCUGACCCCAGGUAGUACAAGGCAGAUCAAGGUAAAUGAAACACAUUGGUUUGGUCACUACCUGCAGCUCCUGCAGUGACAGACUGGAGAGCUUCAGUGGAGGGUGUUUCUCAUCCACAAUGCGUUCUCGCUCCACUUUCUUUUCUUCUUUUUCGGCCAGCCGCCAUCAUCGAAGCAGCUUUCCUCAGCAUAGCAGGCUGGAGGAAUGAAAAGUUUUUUU